GGGCCGGUAGCUCAGCAUGGUUGGAGCGUUCGGCUGAUAACCGAAAGGUCGAGAGUUCAAAUCUCUCCCGGCCCACCA
rnacentral:tRNA from 1 species